rnacentral:rRNA from 1 species
GCGCGAAAACUUUACAAUGCGGGAAACCGUGAUAAGGGAACUCGUGAGUGCCCGUAAAAUCGGGCUGUCCAUCAGUGUAAAAAACUGGUGAAGAAAGGGCCGGGCAAGACCGGUGCCAGCCGCCGCGGUAAUACCGGCGGCUCGAGUGGUGGCCGCUAUUAUUGGGCUUAAAGCGUCCGUAGCUUGGUUGUUAAGUCUCCUGGGAAAUCCACCGGCUCAACCGGUGGGCGUUCGGGAGAAACUGGCAACCUAGGGACCGGGAGAGGUGAGAGGUACUCCAGGGGUAGGAGUGAAAUCCUGUAAUCCUUGGGGGACCACCUGUGGCGAAGGCGUCUCACUAGAACGGCUCCGACAGUGAGGGACGAAAGCUGGGGGAGCAAACCGGAUUAGAUACCCGGGUAGUCCCAGCUGUAAACGAUGCGCGUUAGGUGUAUCGGUGACCACGAGUCACCGAGGUGCCGAAGGGAAACCGUGAAACGUGCCGCCUGGGAAGUACGGUCGCAAGGCUGAAACUUAAGGAAUUGGCGGGGAGCACACAACAGGUGGAGCCUGCGGUUUAACGGACUCGAACGCC